rnacentral:rRNA from 1 species
UACGAAGGGGGCUAGCGUUGCUCGGAAUCACUGGGCGUAAAGCGCACGUAGGCGGAUUGCUAAGUCAGGGGUGAAAUCCUGGAGCUCAACUCCAGAACUGCCUUUGAUACUGGCGACCUUGAGUCCGGGAGAGGUGAGUGGAACUGCGAGUGUAGAGGUGAAAAUUCGUAGAUAUUCGCAAGAACACCAGUGGCGAAGGCGGCUCACUGGCCCGGUACUGACGCUGAGGUGCGAAAGCGUGGGGAGCAAACAGG